rnacentral:rRNA from 1 species
GACGAACGCUGGCGGCGUGCUUAACACAUGCAAGUCGAACGGUAAGGCCCUUCGGGGUACACGAGUGGCGAACGGGUGAGUAACACGUGGGUGAUCUGCCCUGCACUUCGGGAUAAGCCUGGGAAACUGGGUCUAAUACCGGAUAGGACUCCUGGCUUCAUGGUUGGGGGUGGAAAGCUUUUGCGGUGUGGGAUGGGCCCGCGGCCUAUCAGCUUGUUGGUGGGGUAAUGGCCUACCAAGGCGACGACGGGUAGCCGGCCUGAGAGGGUGACCGGUCACACUGGGACUGAGAUACGGCCCAGACUCCUACGGGAGGCAGCAGUGGGGAAUAUUGCACAAUGGGCGCAAGCCUGAUGCAGCGACGCCGCGUGAGGGAUGACGGCCUUCGGGUUGUAAACCUCUUUCAGCACCGACGAAGCGCAAGUGACGGUAGGUGCAGAAGAAGGACCGGCCAACUACGUGCCAGCCGCCGCAGUAA